GAUGAACGCUGGCGGCGUGCCUAAUACAUGCAAGUCGAGCGAACAGACGAGAGUGCUUGCACUCUCUGACGUUAGCGGCGGACGGGUGAGUAACACGUGGGUAACCUACCUAUAAGACUGGGAUAACUUCGGGAAACCGGAGCUAAUACCGGAUAAUAUUUAGCUUCGCAUGAAGCAAUAGUGAAAGACGGUUCUGCUGUCACUUAUAGAUGGACCCGCGGUGUAUUAGCUAGUUGGUGAGGUAACGGCUCACCAAGGCAACGAUACAUAGCCGACCUGAGAGGGUGAUCGGCCACACUGGGACUGAGACACGGCCCAGACUCCUACGGGAGGCAGCAGUAGGGAAUCUUCCGCAAUGGACGAAAGUCUGACGGAGCAAUGCCGCGUGAGUGAAGAAGGUUUUCGGAUCGUAAAACUCUGUUGUAAGGGAAGAACAAGUACGUUAGUAACUGAACGUACCUUGACGGUACCUUACCAGAAAGCCAGGGCUAACUACGUG
rnacentral:rRNA from 1 species